rnacentral:rRNA from 1 species
AGAGUUUGAUCCUGGCUCAGAACGAACGCUGGCGGCAGGCCUAACACAUGCAAGUCGAAGGAGAAGUUUCUCUUCGGAGAGAUGGACACUGGCGCACGGGUGAGUAACGCGUGGGGAUCUACCCCGGGGUGGGGGACAACCGCUGGAAACGGCGGCUAAUACCGCAUACGCCUUAAGAGGGAAAGCUUUAGCGCCCUGGGAUGAACCCGCGUUAGAUUAGGUAGUUGGUGGGGUAACGGCCUACCAAGCCGACGAUCUAUAGCUGGUCUGAGAGGAUGAUCAGCCACACUGGGACUGAGACACGGCCCAGACUCCUACGGGAGGCAGCAGUGGGGAAUAUUGGACAAUGGGGGCAACCCUGAUCCAGCCAUGCCGCGUGCGUGAAGAAGGCCUUAGGGUUGUAAAGCGCUUUCACUGGUGAAGAUGAUGACGGUAGCCAGAGAAGAAGCCCCGGCUAACUCCGUGCCAGCAGCCGCGGUAAUACGGAGGGGGCAAGCGUUGUUCGGAAUUACUGGGCGUAAAGGGCGCGUAGGCGGAAUAUCAAGUUAGGGGUGAAAGGCCUGGGCUCAACCUAGGAACGGCCUCUAAAACUGAUAAUCUAGAGUCCGGAAGAGGAUGGCGGAAUUCCUAGUGUAGAGGU